CUUAGAUCAGAAGAACAAUGACCACUAAGGUCUAAUGACCGUAGACCAUAAUGAUAACGACCCCCAUGAGUACUCCACAAUGGCUCAGUGGGCAGAGGUUGGGACAUUCGAAGUCUCUGUAAUUUUUAUAAUGAUGUUCCGUCCCUCUUGCACCUCACAUUUCUAGAUGAAAGCUCUAAGAUCUAAAUCAUUCCAUGGGGCAGAAAAAUGCCACCUGGCUACCAGUGUAGACAAACAGGAAAGAUCAAACUGACUGUCCUCAGUCAUUCUUUCUGAAAUCAAGGACUAUGCUCACUAUGAAAACUGAAUGGGAACCAUAAGGCUUAGCAGCCAGCCAGAAGACCACAUUGGAGGGACUGUCAACCUCUUCUCUGUGACCAAUACCUAGAUAAAAGUUCAGUGAAGUGGUUAAUUGUCCAUCCAAAGUAAACAAUGAAAGAUGAUAGCUGUAUAAAAUAAUAGAAGCCUGAAGAGUCUCAGACACUGUAUAGCACUGGCAAAGUACAUAUUUUGGAUACUGGCUGUGCGUCUAAAUAAGAUGUGAGGUCUGAAUGGGAUAAAUUUUCUGAACCAGUCCUGAGGAAUAUCUACCAGUGUUUCAUCUUCCUGGGCUUUGGGUUUUUCUGUCAACCAACACAAAUGAAGAUAAGCCAGUCCUCCUCUAGAAUAUAUUGCUCGAGCCUGUGUUCCUGCCCCGGGAAAGAGAGAUGACCCUCCUCCUAGUGCUUUACGUUUUCAUUUCAUCUUCAAUAAUGCAAGA
rnacentral:lncRNA from 1 species